rnacentral:lncRNA from 1 species
CUCAAGGGCUAAUUUUUGUAUUCAUGGUCAGUCACCGAUGCUUGACAAUCAUUUUUGAAGAAAUUUGUUCAUUGUUUCGUAUCUCUUUAUUACUAAGACCAUGCUUAGGUAUUUGCAUAAUAUCAAUUUGCAUAAUGUACUCUAUCAGCAUUUAUGUGGUAUUUUAUUAUUUCAUCUCUUCUGUUAUUUUCUUGCCCUUUGCCUUUAGUUGUUACAUGUUUUUUUUUUUUUUAAGCUUAUUUCAGUGACAAAAGCACUCAGAGAUGCAGCAUAAACAAAUAUCCAUGCCUAUUAUUUUAAUAUAUUACUAUUUAGAUAAAGUUCUGGGUAAUAAGGCAAGAGAUUUCUUACCUAGGUGCAUCUGAUUGAUCUGUUUUUUUUUUAACCAAAAGUAUAGAAACAACCUGAAAGCUAGAAUCCAUAUACCAUCAGCUAACUUCUAUUUAUAUCAUUUAUAUAUUUUCUUUGAUGCUAACUUACUUUAUAUGUAAGCAAGAUGGGCUCUUACCAUGCGUCCUGACCAGUUCAAACACUACUUAUUACAAACUCUUUCCUGAUUUCUACAGGCACAGUUAAUUACCUCCCCGUCUGUUUUCUCAAACAAUUCUGCUCAUGUAUAUUAUUUAUCAUUUAUCACAUUGUAUUGUGCAAUCUAUUUACAGGUCUAAAUCAUUCUUUAGACUUUGACCCAUUUGAGGAUUGAGGCUGUCUCACUUAUAAUGAAUCCACAAAAGCAAUAAAUGUGUGACUCAGAUUCUGUGUAAUUCAAAACAAGUUAUUAAACAUUUUACUUAUAGUAUAAAUUAUAUAAAAAAACAUAGUACAAAUUCUAAGUGUACAAAAAACAUAGUACAAAUUCUACGUGAAAUGACUCCUCAGAAUCACUCUCAGGCAUCUCUCACUCAGAGGUACCUCUCAGAAAUACUCUGGUGACUGCUCAGGAUCAUGGAACCUUUCCCUGGUCCAAGAGUAACUACAUUCAGACUUUUAACAUUAUAGUUUCGUAGUAAAUAGUAAGAAAGACUUUUAUACAGUUUUUGUGAUCCUAUAUAAUUUUGGAGUAAAUGAAUUUUUUCCCUCUUUGUUCUAAUAUACAUAUGAAUGAAACACAAACUGAUGAUAAGUUCAAGGCCCAGAAUAAUCCAAAUUUAAUUAUACCCAUAAAAGUGUCAAGUAGUGUUAAUAAUGAUUAUCUAAUUUGAACACUCAAUAGGUAUGAUAUACUAAAAAGUAACUACAAUUAUUUAUCUUCUAGGAACAGAGAAACGGAUACCCCAGAGGGUGAUGGUAUUUGGAGUGAGAAUGCUUAUAGGCCAUACUCUGCUUUACUAGACUUCGAGAAUAAGAAAGAAAUACUCCAGAGGCUAAUCUAAUGAGAAAUAUGUGAAGUGAUUCCACUCUCAGGCUGUGGAAUCCACUAAAACUCAGCUUCUGUAGCAUGAAGGACUGCAAGAGAAGCAACUCUGAAGCGAGAUUGGACUCUGAAGAAUUAUGAAAAAUGAUUUCUUACUUGUUGUUUUGUCACUUCCUAUCUAUCAGUGCAGGAUAGUAUCAGUAAUUGAAAAACACACUAGUUGAGACCCUGGAGUGUUUCUGCCCAAAGGACACCACAGCAUAAAGCUGUGGGGAAGAUGGUUGUAAAUUGAAAGGUCUGCAUCUGCUGCUUUUUGCCUCCUUUGAAGCCACUGAUGGUACAACAUGACAGAAACUCUUAAACUGUCAAGGACUUUCUAUUAUUAUCACUUUUUUCAAAGACACUAAAUAAAGCACUCUGUACUUCUAUUGCUACUCUCCCAUGUGGAUUUUAAUAAUUCUUUAGUUUUUGUUUGAUGGUUUUUAUUCUAUUUUAUGUGUAGCGUAUUUAAAUGUUUACUUUGUCUUUACAAUAUGGCAAGAGUUCAUUGCCUUCUGGAACAUGCAUAAUCUUACCACCAUAUCAGCAUUAUUAGGUUGGGAAACCACAUAAAAGGCCUUUAUCUAAUUGUUACUGAAUUAGUGAAGAAAUGCUCACAUAUUCUUGCCCAUUUAAAGUGCCCAUUUGAUUAAAACAAUGUCAAAAAGCAAAUUUAUUAAAAACCAAUUGGUCAUAGUUUUAGAGAAUACUUUGUGACUUGUAUGUAGAAAAUUAAUGUCAAUGACCUAUAAUCAAUAGAAUAUGUACGUUAAAUGAUUUCCAGUGCUAGUGUUGGGUUAUGCCAGUUCCUUUACUAAUCACAGGGCACAUGUGUGAUAUUGACCUCUGGGGAUGAUGAUAGGGUCUGUGACCUUAAAAAUGUAAAUAGUAGGGUAGGGGAAACUAAAUGCUCAUGGUAUAAAUAAAACACAUGACUUUAGACCAACUAGCAUCAUAUUCCAAGUAGGCAUUUAAACAUAAUAGUAAAUUCCAGAUUAUCCACAACAUGCAUAUUUUUGAGGGAUCACCUGUGUUAACAUUUCUUCCUCACCAGGCCCCCUCCUUGGUCUUUUCCCUGACACUCUAUAAUCAUCUUGGGACUAUAAGCCUCCCUUCUCCCCACCGCACAUCCCCUACAAUGAUAUCUCAAGCCAGACUCUUUGCUGACACCUGCACUAAUAGCAGGGUAGAUUAUCUACUCUUCUUAAUUAUCUCUCCCCCAGCUGCCUCCAUUAGCUUGGAUAAUUGACUGUAUGUAUAACAUUCAUAAGCAGAACAAUGUGCUAUGGAAAAAAAUUAAGGGAGAGAAAAAAAUGAAUCUUUAGUUUAUAUAAGAUUAGCUAUGUGUGGCAUCAGACGUAUGGCAUCUGGAGUUUUGGGGGGAGCAUCUGCUUUUCUUUUGUUGGGAAAGUCGUUAAGAAUUUGGAAUGAGGUUUUUCAAAGAAUAGGAGGAAGUGUUGCAUACAUUUUACAUGGAGAGGGCAUUCAAGAAAGAGAGUUUCCGUGAGGGAAAGUUGCACUCUCAUGAGUGAGAAGACAGGAAGCAGCAAAUACUGAGAGCUAGAGAAGACAAGUUUGGCCAUGAGAUACAGAGCUGCUGAGGAGGCCUGAGAAGGUGAGGGUACCAAUUCAGUGGCAAAUGUUCACUAACAGGACAAUUGUGGAAGAAGAAAACUAUUUUUUUCCAAAGCCUUUGAGUCAAUCCUAUCAAUUGCCCCUGCAAUUUUGUUCCUAUGAAAUAGGUAUUCAUCCCUAUUAUAUGACCAACAAAUCCAAGCAUUAAAAUAGAUGUAGUGAUUUCUGCAAAUUGACAAAUGAUGAGACUGGAAUUUAAAGCCAUAGAAUGUGAUGCCUGGGAAUGGAUUGUGAUCCAGCAGGCUAUUUGAACCAUUUGAACUCUUUAAAAGAGCAUAGUUCAAAGUUGCAUUAAUUUAAAAGAAAACUUAUUUGAACAGAAAAUACAAGUCCUAUGAAAUGAUUACUAUAAGUUUUAUAAUACCUUAAAUAUGUGAACAGUGAAUAUAUAGGGAGGGCAAAAAUGAAAAUAAAUUUGUGAUUUAAUUGUCAGAAUACUUCUUUAAAAGCAAUCAGGAAUACUUAGAUUGAAAACAGAAUUAGAGAAUUAAUUAUCUGUAAAAUAAUCAAAAACAUUUCAUUUUUCUUUGUGUGAGAUUAAAUAGUUUGCACUUUAAUUUUGUAUAUUUUCAAAUUCUCAUAAUAAAGAUUCAGGUCGCUUAUAUUCUAUCUUGAGCCUCUUGGAUGACCUAAGAAUUCCUGGUAUAUUAUUUUUGAGGUUUUAGAAAAAAAGGUGGAAUUUUGUUCUUAUACCUUUUAUGGAUUGACCUCAUAAAAAUGAGUAUACAAAAAAGAAGGGGCACGUUGAGGUGAUUUAUUCAUUGAUCUGGUGUGUGAUGUUGUUAAUUAAAGCUUUUUUGAAAAUUCAGAUUUCAUCUUGCUCUGUUCUCAUGCCAGUAGAAGUGUUUGAAGCCUGAAGGUUUUCAUUUGUGUUUCUGCUGACUUGCACAUUUCACACAAUAGGCCUUGUUAUUAAGGGCCUGAUCAUGGUCAGUGCAAUUUGCAGUGUUGGCUAAUUUUUGAAACUAGCAGUGAAUUUGAAAUUAAUUACAGACUAUUUUGGGUUCAUUAGUGUCCAUGAAGGGUUUUAUGCCUGUUUGUUUGUUUUUAAUUGAGUAGAGGGGACCAAAAAUAACAAAGCCUGCUUUCUCUCAUAUGCAGAGAUAAAGUGGUACAAUCUUCAGCUGAACCAGUGAUAACAGUAGUAGCAAAGAUAGUAUAAUCAAAUGAUUUGGCAUUGAGAGAGCAUAUGCAUCUAUCCUAUUUACUAAUUGUCCAUCCCAAAGCAUGGAAUGGGAGGGACAAAGUUAAAAUAAUUAAGUGACAAAGGAAAUAAUAUGUUUACAAUUUCAUGCAUAUUUACCAAAAGGGGUCACAGUUCUAAGCAUUCCAUAUAAUCAAAUAAUUUAUUAGGUUUGUAAGGUUAACUGCUUACAGCUAAACAACUUGUAGCUUAAUUGCUUCUCAUAACUAGAGUAGAGUUUGAAAUGUCUUUCUGCCCCCUAUCCCCAAAGCGGGAAACCCAGCCUCAGGCAGUGAAAGUGCUAUACAGGAAACAGUAGGUAGCAUAAUUCAGCCAUGUCAAAUUAAUGUUUCUAUCCUGGGAACAUAGAUAGCAUAAUGAAGGAAGAAUAAGGACAUUUAGGAGAGAGAGUCCUUCAGUAGGACGUCCCUUCUGUUUUUAUUUAUGUGCAGCAAAUAAUGAUUUAUUUCCUAUUAAAAAUAAUAUCCUGAAAAUUAAUUUUGGGAGACUAGAUAUACAUUUUGGAUUCAUCCAUUCAUACUUCUUCUACUUUUAAUAUUUGGUUAAUUCCGAAGUAGCUCUCUAAGUUUCCAAAAGGGUUUGUGGGGGCAGGGGUGUGGGUGGAGCAUUGUGUAAAACUUGAGCAAGGAAAUAUCGAACUGAAUAUGUUUUGUACAUGUAGAGUUCAAUGUAUAAAUCUCCUUGUAAGCCAGGUCCGUGACUGCUCUUUGCCUCUGUGGUUUAAAUCCAUCCUUGCUCUCAUUAGAUGAUAGAUUAUCAGCAGAGAGGAACAGCAGGUUUGAAUUCACAAUGAUAGAUAAGGGGCUGAACAAAAGUGUGUUCUUGAACUUGGUUGAACAGCCAGCCUCAUCACCUGAGACAUUUAAAAAUACACAGGAUAAAGAAAAGGAAAAUGCCCUUCAGCGAAAAUCAUUUCCUAUACACAUAGAUAAUCUGUCUUUUCAAGAUUUUGUCUUAAUAUGAAAAGUGGAACUAAUGAUAUGCCAACAGGAGUCUGAGAAAUCUUUAAACUCACACACAGAAAGGAGCUAACAAUUGGGAUGUGAGUUAGAGUGGAGAAGGGCGAUCUGUCCUCUAACACUGGACAUGGAGUGACAAAGCCAGAUGGGCUCAGCUCUACCCAUGGUCUAUCACUUAGCUGAGAAUCUAGUGGCAUGUUGUAGGCCAUCUUUUUUAAGUACCAUUUCUAUAAUUCACAGAGAAAAGAUGGGAACUAGAGAUAAUUCAUGUCAAUGAUUAUGAAAUGAUCUAAGGUUGUUAAUUAGAGGUGAUUUCACUUUUCCAUGAUUCAAGAAGUGAUAUUUCGGCACACUGCAAUGACUGUGUGGAAAUGAUCUUCUUGAAAUAUUCAACAAAAUACAUAAUAUACUGCUUGAGUUUCUCAAUCACCACUAAGAAACAUACUCAAAAGAACUGUUCUCAAAGUAAGUUUCAUAUGAUUCAUACAACUUAGAAAAUUAUAUCUUUCCAGGUAGUAAAAUAUUCACCUUAUUUCCAAAAUAAUCUUGGACACAAGCACAGUGGUGAUUAAAAAAAAAAAAAAAAAAAAAAGUAAGAGAAAAAGACAGAAAGCCAUCUUACUCCAUUAUUUGUUUUAAUCAGCAAUAGCAAAUGAGAUAUGACCUGUUCCAGAUAUUUGGAUUUCUUAAUGUGUUGCAGUAAAUAGAUUGUUGCUCAUAUUAUAAUAGAUUGGACUCACUGCCUGGGGAGGGGGACUGCAUUAUAAUUACAAUGUUGCCAGAAGGGUAACCACAGAAUAUUUCCCCAGGUUCUUAAAUUCCUUUAACUAGAGAGUUUAUUGUGUUUCAUGAACAUUUAUUUGUACUAUUGAGGAAACUUUUGAAGGUCUGAUGUUUUAUUUCCCUUUCUGAGAGAAACAUUAGGGCAUUUUAUAUUAUCUAUUCAAAUACAUAAUGUGUCUGUGGCUAAGAAGAGUUUAGUCCUAUAAAGAAAAAAAA